UACGUAGGGGCCUAGCGUUGUCCGGAAUUAUUGGGCGUAAAGAGCUCGUAGGUGGCUUGUUGCGUCUGCCGUGAAAGCCCGUGGCUUAACUACGGGUCUGCGGUGGAUACGGGCAGGCUAGAGGCUGGUAGGGGCAAGCGGAAUUCCUGGUGUAGCGGUGAAAUGCGCAGAUAUCAGGAGGAACACCGGUGGCGAAGGCGGCUUGCUGGGCCAGUUCUGACGCUGAGGAGCGAAAGCGUGGGGAGCGAACAGG
rnacentral:rRNA from 1 species